rnacentral:lncRNA from 1 species
UUUUUUUUUUUUUUUUUUUUUUUUUUGCUUUUAGACAAAAACCAAUAAAUUUGUAAGAAUUGGCAGGACAAAGGAACCGAGGCACUGGGUGUUUAGGUAGUGAAGGAACAGAGUUUGGGCUUGAAGUGGUAAAUUAAAGAAGUUACAAGGCUGGUGUUUAUGGGCUCCCUGGCCCUGAAUUUCCUACCUCUGGUGAUAAAGAUGUCCAUUUACCUGCACAUGCAGGGAGGGUAACUUUCACAUGAGAGAUUUAUUUUCUCCUUUCAGGGAGACAGAGAGGAGGGUCAGGGUUUCCCUCUUACACUGGCUGCUGCUGAAGUACCUUCAAUUUAAAAUAAUCCAUAUGCUAUUGAAGCACAUUUUGAGGUGGCCUGGCUUGGGCCCCAAUAUCACCCAUCUUUUUAAACAAGUAUGCACUAAUCACGUAUAUUUGACUCUUGGACUCUGAUUCCUAGAGUGGGACUUAAAACAUUUGAAUUUGCCACCUGAGAUUUAAAACUGCUGCUACUGGAGGAGCACAGGCACACUUCACACCUGCCCCUGAUUUUGAGGAGGAAGAAAACCUUGAACAUGGUUCAAGGUCACAAGUAGUGACACUGGUGGGCCGGCUAAUGGGAUAGGGAAGGAAUUAUAAAUAGAUUUAAACUGAAACAAGAAAUCUCUUGGCCUCUCCUCUGAGAUGUCCUCCUCUUUCAAAGUUAUUCCUCUUUGCAUUGGUUCUUUUUUCUUCAUCUUCUCUUGCAACUAGUACCAUAAAACAAAUCUCCUGAGACCUAUCAUUUUGAAAGAAUUUCCUUUCACUGAGCUUUGUAACAAAACCAAGAGGGGUGGUAUAAAAAGACAGGGCUGAGACUGCCAACCAAAUUCUUGUCAAGAAUUCUCAUGGAGAAAUAUUUUAAGUUUUGUUGGGUUUCUCUUACCAUUGUUACUCACCACUCAUUCAUUCGCUCACUCAGCUAAGAAGUAUGUAUCGAGUUGCUACCUCAGGCCAGGUAGUGCCAUAGGCACUGGUGGAUGGGCCCUAAAAGUGGUCAAAGAACCUAUUUUCAUUGGGAUUAUCCAAGGGAAGUAUUGCACUAUAAAUAAAUCAUAAGUAGAUUACAGUAUGUCAUAAUUAACAGUCCUAUGCGGAAAAAAAAUAACCAGGUCAAUGGGGAUUGGCAUUUAAGAAAUUUACAAACAAAGAACAGGUCAGCAAGCUACUUGGGAAAGAACAGUCCAAGCAGAGGCCGCGCUACUUAAGGCGCUCCUCAAGUUGGAGCGUUUGGUCAGUGAAAGGUCAGUUAGGAGGCCAGCGCGACGGAACCAGAGGAAAGGAAGGAAGGAUGAUAGAAACGAUCCAAAGGCAGCACGAGGAGCAGAUCGCACGUGCCUUUCAGGUCAGCGCCCAGCAGAGACCUGGGCCGUGUUCCCAGGGCUGUGAGAACCUUCCGGGGUUACUGUGUCAGGAGAGAGCCCUCUCGCCAAAACUGAACACCUGGUCAAUCUCUUGGGACAGACCACGACGAAAGAUAAUACGAGAAAAAGAAUGUAUACAGAUGGUUAACUGGGUCACUACGUUAUAUAGCAGAAACUGACAACACUGUAAAUCCACUAUACUCUAAUAAAAAUAAUUUUAAAAAAAAGAAUGCCUGGGCAGCCUAUGCAGAAAGAAUCAUCGAUUUAUCUAGCCCAGCGUACCACAUCCAGUGCACCCUUUGAAACUUUUCAUCAAUUGGCUGAAUGUCAAAGUUACACAUUGUACUAAAUACCACUUCCUUGUUGAAAAUGUCUUCUUUGAAGAAGACAUGUAAAUCACCUUACAUUCAACAAAACCAAAAUAAUGCCCCUCUUAAGGUGUGGCCAUUGUAGGAAUGAGUGUUUCAGCAGGAGAAAGAAUCAAACCCAGAUGUUUCAAGAGCCUUCAGAUAAGACAGCAUUUACAGAAGUGUAAAGAUGUUAUAAUGAAACAGACAAAAAGCAAAAUGUUGAUGAACCUAGAGAGUAGUAAGGGGUCAGGUAGCCCAGUGAGAGGUGGGUCGUGAAAGAAGGCCUGACUGUCUGAGCUCCUGCUGUGCUGGAGGACAGCUCAGAGGCACGAGAAAGCCCAAAGACCCAGACCCAGCUCUUAGUCACCCACUGAUCCUGUGACCCUCUCCUUAGUGGAUUCUGCGGUGCUUUGCCUCAGUCACCACUUUAAAACUUUAAACCUCUCCCCUGCUCCUCAGAAUCUUUAACUGCUGAUGGCUCAGAGCUGCAGCCUUCUCUGGGGCAUUAUCUUCGGCUUCAGGAAACCAGCUCCCCAAAGGAGUCUUCUCUCCCAAGGAACAAGGCACAAUCAAGGACUGGUUGAAUUGGGGCUGCAAAGGUCUGGCCCUCCCCUCAGAUUGGAACAGUUGUGAAGGGCCUUCGCAUAUUUAAAGCUUGCUUGAGAAGGAGUGAAAUUGCAAAUGCCAUCACAGGGCAAGAUGGCUUUUCCCCAAGCCAGUACCUCCUGGCAAGGGUAACCCUGGAGAAAAUUCAUGGUUAAUCUCUAAAGAACGCUCCAUCUCAAAGUAUGUUUUCAAGAAAUUCAGUCUAAACCAACCACACUGUAGCCAGAAGGAGAGUCCAGGCAAUGACCUUCAUGGCAGCCGGUCUGCCUGGGCUCAGAGCAGAGAGAAAGGCCAAAAAUGGAAGGAGUGGGACUGUGGCUGGAAUGCAAACAGAGAAUAAUGGGAGGUUAUCGAUAACAUCUGGAAGAAUCUCAUACUUUGUAAAUUAUUACUUUCUUUCCUUGCUAAUAUAUUUACGGCAAAUUUACACACAAAUCAUCCUCAAAUCCCAGUAGUACACAGGUUACCAUUUUAAUAAACACAUACCACAAAUACCCCAUUUUUGCCGCACUCUACCCCCACUGCUGAGUUUCAGCCAGUGUCUAAAUAAUGAAAACAAUGAUUUUUUCAUGACACGCAUACAAUUUUUAUUUCAGAUGUUCAAAACUUCUCUUUUAAAUUUUGUGAUUCUCCCCAAGAUUUCUCAUGAUAUAAAUAGAGAUUAAAGAUAUGUUCUUAAAUUAGCUAUGGCAAUGCUAAAAGACCCAACCAAAAUUCCCUUAAUUGUAGACAUAAUGCAUAUAAAGAAGUAUUAAAUGACCCUUUUCAAACCCAGUUCCAUAAUG